rnacentral:rRNA from 1 species
CCACGUGUUUAACCCUGCCGGGGCCGUGGUGUGGGGGNNNUGUCCCCCCGCCGGUGCUUGCGCUGUGCGGGCUAAUGAACCCCGGCGCGAUACGCGCCAAGGAAAACUGAAUCGAAGCGCCCUCCCCCGUCCCAUGCCCCAUCCGCGGUGUGCACGGACGGGGGGAAGGCCGUGCCUCACUUAUGUCAAAACAACUCUCGGCAACGGAUAUCUCGGAUCUCGCAUCGAUGAAGAACGUAGCGAAAUGCAUACUUGGUGUGAAUUGCAGAAUCCCGUGAACCAUCGAGUUUUUGAACACAAGUUGCGCCCAAGCCUUCGGGCCGAGGGCACGCCUGCCUGGGUGUCACACAUCGUGUCGCCCCCCUCCCCCGCUCCGACGGAGCGGGUGGGCGGGGGCGGAGACUGGCCUUCUGUGAGCUCCGUCAUGCGCCCGGCCUAAAUGCGAUCCCCCGGCGACGCCAGUCGUGACCAGUGGUGGUGGAAUCCUCAACUCACGUGCUUUCAGUCAUGCAGANCGGUGUCNUCCGGUCNGGGCAUCACAAACGACC